CAGCAGCCGCGGUAAUACGUAGGGCGCGAGCGUUGUCCGGAAUUAUUGGGCGUAAAGGGCUUGUAGGCGGUUGGUCGCGUCUGCCGUGAAAUCCUCUGGCUCAGCUGGGGGCGUGCGGUGGGUACGGGCUGGCUUGAGUGCGGUAGGGGAGGCUGGAACUCCUGGUAUAGCGGUGGAAUGCGCAGAUAUCAGGAGGAACACCGGUGGCGAAGGCGGGUCUCUGGGCCGUUACUGACGCUGAGGAGCGAAAGCGUGGGGAGCGAACAGGAUUAGAUACCCCUGUAGUCCCUGUCUCUUAUAC
rnacentral:rRNA from 1 species